rnacentral:hammerhead_ribozyme from 1 species
AUCCAGCUGACGAGUCCUAAGUAGGACGAAACCCGCGUCCUGAGU